rfam:Mycobacterium abscessus strain PAP053 genome assembly, contig: ERS075544SCcontig000001
AGGGCGACGGGGUCAACACCGCGGGUGACCACGAGGUAGUCGCGGAUGACGAUGCCGUGCCGGUUCUC